rnacentral:rRNA from 1 species
UACGUAGGGCGCAAGCGUUGUCCGGAGUUACUGGGCGUAAAGCGCGCGCAGGCGGCGGUGCUGGCCCGGCGUGAAAGCCCCCGGCUCAACCGGGGAGGGUCGUCGGGGACCGCACCGCUUGAGGGCGGUAGGGGCUGGUGGAAUGCCUGGUGUAGUGGUGAAAUGCGUAGAGAUCAGGCGGAACACCCGUGGCGAAGGCGGCCAGCUGGGCCGUCCCUGACGCUGAGGCGCGAAGGCGUGGGGAGCGAACGGG